rnacentral:rRNA from 1 species
UGGGGGAUAUUGCGCAAUGGGGGCAACCCUGACGCAGCAACGCCGCGUGAAGGAUGAAGGUUUUCGGAUUGUAAACUUCUUUUAUUAAGGACGAAAUUUGACGGUACUUAAUGAAUAAGCUCCGGCUAACUACGUGCCAGCAGCCGCGGUAAUACGUAGGGAGCAAGCGUUGUCCGGAUUUACUGGGUGUAAAGGGUGCGUAGGCGGCUUUGCAAGUCAGAUGUGAAAUCUAUGGGCUCAACCCAUAAACUGCAGUUGAAACUGUAGGGCUUGAGUGAAGUAGAGGCAGGCGGAAUUCCCCGUGGAGCGGUGAAAUGCGUAGAGAUGGGGAGGAACACCAGUGGCGAAGGCGGCCUGCUGGGCUUUAACUGACGCUGAGGCACGAAAGCGUGGGUAGCAAACA